GAUGAACGCUAGCGGCAGGCUUAAUACAUGCAAGUCGAGGGACAGCACAGGUAGCAAUACUGGGUGGUAACCGGCAAACGGGUGCGGAACACGUACACAACCUUCCUUUAAGUGGGGGAUAGCCCAGAGAAAUUUGGAUUGAUACCCCGUAAUAUAGUUGAAUGGCAUCAUUUGAUUAUUAUAGCUACGGCGCUUAAUGAUGGGUGUGCGGCUGAUUAGAUAGUUGGCGGGGUAACGGCCCACCAAGUCUACGAUCAGUAGCUGAUGUGAGAGCAUGAUCAGCCACACGGGCACUGAGACACGGGCCCGACUCCUACGGGAGGCAGCAGUAAGGAAUAUUGGUCAAUGGACGCAAGUCUGAACCAGCCAUGCCGCGUGAAGGAUUAAGGUCCUCUGGAUUGUAAACUUCUUCUAUUUGGGACGAAAAAGGGUCUUUCUAGGUCAACUGACGGUACCAGAUGAAUAAGCACCGGCUAACUCCGUGCCAGCAGCCGCGGUAA
rnacentral:rRNA from 1 species